rnacentral:rRNA from 1 species
GAUGAACGCUGGCGGCGUGCCUAAUACAUGCAAGUCGAGCGAACGGACGAGAAGCUUGCUUCUCUGAUGUUAGCGGCGGACGGGUGAGUAACACGUGGAUAACCUACCUAUAAGACUGGGAUAACUUCGGGAAACCGGAGCUAAUACCGGAUGAUAUUUUGAACCGCAUGGUUCAAUAGUGAAAGACGGUCUUGCUGUCACUUAUAGAUGGAUCCGCGCUGCAUUAGCUAGUUGGUAAGGUAACGGCUUACCAAGGCAACGAUGCAUAGCCGACCUGAGAGGGUGAUCGGCCACACUGGAACUGAGACACGGUCCAGACUCCUACGGGAGGCAGCAGUAGGGAAUCUUCCGCAAUGGGCGAAAGCCUGACGGAGCAACGCCGCGUGAGUGAUGAAGGUCUUCGGAUCGUAAAACUCUGCUAUUAGGGAAGAACAUAUGUGUAAGUAACUGUGCACAUCUUGACGGUACCUAAUCAGAAAGCCACGGCUAACUACGUG